GCCAAUGGUAAUUGGAAAACCGAUGUCUGACUUUUAGCUGUUAUCACUUAAACGCCAUUAGCAAUAAUCAGUAACUAUUUUGUUCAGCUUUGGUGAUAUAUUUUCGACAGCAAAAUGAAGAUUUAUUUGGUUGUAGUAAUUAUUUCCUUAUGGGUUGGAGAUUUGGUUCAAAUGCAAGAGGCCUGUGCAGACAUAAAAUGCUCAUCUCCUCAUCAAAUUUGCCGAGGUUCUAACCCAUGCUAUAACAAAUGUAGUAGUCAAUUUUGCCCGGCAUAUUUAGAAUAUGCCUGUUUCUGUGAAUCUGGUUAUUGUAGCGACGAUAACGGAGAUUGUGUUAUUAGGAGAAACAAAUAAUGAAAUGCUUGUUUAUAUUUAUUGAAAUAAUAAAUAUUUGAGUCUCUA
rnacentral:lncRNA from 1 species